AAAAAGGCAGAGAAAGGGAAGAGUACGCGGAGCACUGUGGAUUCAGAGAGGGGAUGGCCGGUGAAAAUCCCAGCCUCAGCCGCGGAAAGUAACCCCGGAGCCGUGAUUCGAAAGCGUGUUUGCGCCGUAGUUUUCACCGGGAGUUUCGCCGUUAUCAGGGACACCGCAUCUUUCGGUGCGGAAAGAGUGUGCGCACGGCAGCGCAAUUAUAGGUGGUACCGCGAAGUAAGCCUUCGUCCUAUUG
rnacentral:ncRNA from 1 species